ACAAUAUUGAAAAAAAAUGGCAUUCCACUCAACACUUUCAAUGUUGUUCCCAAAGAUCCUCAACUUUAGUUAAUAACGAAGGAAACGCGGAGAAGCAAUCUUUCAAGCAAGACAGGCUAGAACAUGAUUAUCCAUCCAAACAUGAGGAUGCUUAUAAAGGACCAUUGGGAAAAAUAUAUGCAUUUUACAGAUUUACUCGUCCAUAUGCUGUCAUGGGCACAGGUCUGGCAGUAGCAUCUGCUUCUUGUCUUCCAGUAGAGACAAUCACUGAUUUGUCUCCAACAUUUUUCCUAGAAGUACUAAAGGCUAUGAUUCCACUAGUAUUGGCUAACAUUUAUGCAGUUGGAGUGAAUCAACUAUAUGAUAUAGAAAUUGACA